rnacentral:snRNA from 1 species
GGAUAUGAGGGUGAUCUGCCUGCGACAUCUGUCACCCCAUUGAAUCAACCUUGGGUUGAUUCAGCUGAUCUGGCUGGCUAGGCAGGUAUCCCCUUCCUCCCUCACCACUCCGUGUGCGUCCCUCCCGAAGCUGCCUGCUUGGUCAAAGAGGACAGCCUUCUCCGAAUAAAGACAGACUGGUCUUCGGUCGGUUGAGGGUAAAGGAGUAGCUGCGCUCCCCUGCCAGAACCUCCAAAUAAACUCUCAAGAUUAUGCUAUCUCCCCAGCUAUAUUAGUCAGCAGUCCAUGUAUUUCAUUUAUGCAAUGAUGUGGAGUAGCUCUGAAAUAUUUUGCCCACGU